UCGAUUCUUUCCCUCAUUUCAGUCAGUUUCUCUUCUUUCCUUUCUCCCACCAAAUAUUUGGCCUUCAUCCACUCAAUCUUUGACGUGUUUGUUGUUCUCUUUUCAGAUUUUGUGGAAUCAAAUCUCCAUUCAUUGGCCAACUUAUCAUUUGACCGAGCUCUCGAGGCGGAGGGGAAUAUCCCGGUGAGCUCCCGAGCUUGAGGCAGAGGAGGUGGCUGAGUGGGAGGAGGGGAAGGCUCGCUGUCAAAAACCCUAGCCGCGACACCCCUGCUCCACUGCCACAGGGUGAUAGUGAUCGUUGCAAAGGUGAGUUCCGAAGCUAUCUUGAAGGGGAAAAAUGAAGAAGAAAUGUGUGAUGGAAACCACCAGUUCCAAUUACCUACCUAGGAACCGGACUAGACCGGUUCCAAGACUCUCAUCAGUCCAACCGGAUCACCUAUGGAACCAAUCACCCCUAUUUGUAAGUCCCUUAUUCUUUCAUUUGCAUUUGAUCUCAUUUAAUUUAAAUAUUUUCUUUUGCAUC
rnacentral:lncRNA from 1 species